UACAGAGGGUGCAAGCGUUGUUCGGAAUUAUUGGGCGUAAAGCGCGUGUAGGCGGCUUUGCAAGUCGGGUGUGAAAUCCCUCAGCUUAACUGAGGAAGUGCGCCCGAAACUGCUUUGCUUGAGUGCCGGAGAGGAUGGCGGAAUUCCCCAAGUAGAGGUGAAAUUCGUAGAUAUCAGGAGGAACACCAGUGGCGAAGGCGGCUUCCUGGACACCAACUGACGCUGAGACGCGAAAGCGUGGGGAGCAAACAGG
rnacentral:rRNA from 1 species